GAUAAAGUGGCGAACGGGUGAGUAACGCGUGACCGACCUUCCCCCCGCACCGGGACAACCGCGGGAAACCGCGGCUGACACCGGGUACUCCGGGGCCCCCGCAUGGGGGCCCCGGGAAAGCUCCGGCGGCGGGGGAUGGGGUCGCGUCCCAUCAGGUAGUAGGCGGGGCAACGGCCCACCUAGCCGACGACGGGUAGCCGGGUUGAGAGACCGACCGGCCACAUUGGGACUGAGAUACGGCCCAGACUCCUACGGGAGGCAGCAGUGGGGAAUUUUGCGCAAUGGGGGCAACCCUGACGCAGCAACGCCGCGUGCGGGACGACGGCCUUCGGGUUGUAAACCGCUUUCAGCAGGGAAGAACCUAUGACGGUACCUGCAGAAGAAGCCCCGGCUAACUACGUGCCAGCAGCCGCGGUAAUACGUAGGGGGCGAGCGUUAUCCGGAAUGAUUGGGCGUAAAGCGCGCGCAGGCGGCCGCUCAAGCGGGACCUCUAACCCCGGGGCUCAACCCCGGGCCGGGUCCCGAACUGGGCGGCUCGAGUGCGGUAGGGGAGAGCGGAAUUCCAAGUGUAGCGGUGAAAUGCGCAGAUAUUUGGAAGAACACCGAUGGCGAGGGCAGCUCUCUGGGCCGUCACUGACGCUGAGGCGCGAAAGCCGGGGGAGCGAACAGGAUUAGAUACCCUGGUAGUCCCGGCCGUAAACGAUGGGCGCUAGGUGUGGGGGGACAUUCCCUCCGUGCCGCAGCCAACGCAUUAAGCGCCCCGCCUGGGGAGU
rnacentral:rRNA from 1 species